GGAGAGGAGUCAGGGUGUGUGAAUCACGUCAGCCCUUCAGACGAGGUGAAACGGAAAUAACAUAUUUGCAAGACAAUAACCACAACCACAUCUAUGACUAGAAAAUCCUAGAAAAUUCUGUGCUACGUAAUAUAAAACCUCUCAGGGUACAAUCCACCAACCUGGAAGUACUAUUGACUGAAUUAUGCUCAUAACUGAGGAUGAUGACCUACAGGCAAACUCUGCUAGUGACCAGGUUGUUCUUGCAGAGAUUUCGGAGUGAAAUCCUAGAUCAAAAAAGAAAAAAAGUUAAAUGAGCUUGAACAAAUGACAGCUAAGCUUUUCUUGUCAUUGACUGCUCCUGACUGCUGGGAAAAGAGCUGGAAGUUCUGAAAUAUCAAAGCAAAAUCUGUUCCUGCAAGAUUUCCAUCAGAGAGAGGAUUAACAGUCAACAAAUGAACAUCAGUGCAGUAUCUUUUGAAGUUUCUCCAUCUCUAUUGGUGAUGCUAUAGUGACUCUGUUGUUCCUGGUCUUCUCUUUCUAAAGUCUAUUUGCUUUUUUUUUUUUUUUUUUUUCUUUUGGGACAUUUAAUGUAAGUUACUGUAUUUGAAUUUCUGACUCAUCCUCUGUUGUCUGGUUCUGCGUACUGAAAAGUAUCAUUAUAUUCAAAGAGAACUGGUAACUGAAAUUAUAUAGGCUGUCAAUGUUCUCAUUCAGACUUCUCUUCAGCAUUAGAAUUCUGUGUGGUGUUGCAUGCUGUUAGUUGAAGAUUUAUUCUUGAACUUUUUAUUUUCACAAUUCCUUAUUAUCUAAUAACUAUACAGAAAUGUUAAUAGUCUUAUGACUAAACAGGUCAAUAUUCAUAUGAAUAUAUAUUUUUACUUGUUUAAUCUCAAUGAAAUAGCCUAGUAGAAAUUUAACACAUUUAAAACAUUCAAAUAAAAGCUUUUUUUACCCAAUCACAACAACAGCAACAACAAAAACAACAACAAAAACUCUAAUGCUCUUUUUUUGCACUGAAAAAAUCACCAACAUUAGAGUAACUUACAAUGAUAAAUCUCAAAAGACUUAUAUUCUUUAACUCAAGUUGAGACCAUUUGCUUAUUAUACAGGUUCACUGACCCAAAUCUUCUUCAUUCUACAUUAGAGAACUUGACCUGAGAUUUUCUUCUCCCUUCUCCCAGAUAUCACAUAAUGUUAUUUUUGCAUUUUCUGUUGCUGUAAAUAUUUAAUUAGCUACACAAAGUGAAACUAUUCCAAGAAGGAUGACAAAUUCACACUUAAAGUCAUUUGCAAUUGAAAGCUUUUGUAUGCACUGUAAAAUAAAGAUUCUGAACCCAUUUUUUCUUUUAUUUGAAGAAAGAUCUUUGACUUAUGAUUUCUUAACUAUUAAGAGGAAAUCUGUGCUUUGUCUAGCCUCUGCUCUGUUUUCUAGAAAAAUCAGAAAAGUCCUAUUUGUGUCUAGUGUUUAUGGACAUUACCUGCCCAUUUCUUGCUCCUGGCUGAGUUCCAUACAGCCACUAGAAAUCUGAUUUAGCAGGCAAUAUAAGCAUGCUGAAUCACACUAAGCAGUUCAAAAUAAUGUGAUUAAUCUGUUUGUUUCAUUUACCGCAUUCAGAUUUAUGUAGAAACUGGUGAGAGAAGCCCAGGAUCUUAUCAUCUAACAAUUAAACUAAUCUUGCAGUAUAUUUUAUAAUGUGACUCUAGGAUAAACCCCUACCAAAAUUGGCUUU
ensembl:lncRNA